UAUAUAUAAAUGAGAUGUGAUGUGGGCUAUGUGGCAUUUGAUUUUGGCCAUUUUUGCUGAUGUGGCAAGUUUUUUUGUUGAGUUUAGGAGGGAAUUGAUAAAAGAAUUAUAAAUUAAUUAAUUGCUUCACAAAUGGACGCGGGAUCCGAAUAAAGUCCGGGUCGGAUCAGUUUGAUUUGGAUCCCUUAAAUUUUUUGAAAGCUUUCUUCCUCUACACAAUUCCAUCAGAUCUCCUAGGGCUUGAAGCUUAUAUUUUUUGAAAGCUUUCUUCCUCUACACAAUUCCAUCAGAUCUCCUAGGGCUUGAAGGACUAUAUUCAUUUGAUGGUGUCUGAACGUGGAAUGCUUUUGGUCGGACAACUGAGAUUCGUAAACAUAAGUUGCAGAUUUAUCAAGAUUUGAUCA
rnacentral:lncRNA from 1 species